rnacentral:rRNA from 1 species
UACGGAGGGGACUAGCGUUGUUCGGAAUUACUGGGCGUAAAGCGCACGUAGGCGGAUUUGUAAGUCAGGGGUGAAAUCCCGGAGCUCAACUUCGGAACUGCCUUUGAUACAGCACGUCUUGAGUCCGGAAGAGGUGGGUGGAAUUCCUAGUGUAGAGGUGAAAUUCGUAGAUAUUAGGAAGAACACCGGUGGCGAAGGCGGCCCACUGGUCCGGUACUGACGCUGAGGUGCGAAAGCGUGGGGAGCAAACAGG